CAGAGAAAAAGGCGCAACUUGAGACUGAUAUCUGCACUACAGGAAUUAAAAGAUGGCAACAGAUAAUCACAAGAAAAGUCAUCUCCUUCUGAUCAUCCAACUGCUCCUCCUACACAGAACUUGUGCAGAGAGUCUCACUUACAAGCUGGUGCUGAAAAAUCGAAGUCUGACCCUACCCGGUACAUAUAUAUCAUAUAACGGUUAUACAAAGAUAAGAUGUGCAAUGAUCUGCAAUCAAUUUGGUUGUGACGGGUUAGCUCACGUUGCAGCAACGAACGAAUGCGGACUAUCUGACACUCCCCACCUUCAUAGAACCAAUUACGGCAUCCGAAGCAACUCUGAGGACCUACCUUCCUGCCCAUUCUCCCAUUAUUUUCAUUAAACCUGUUUAUGGUACCAGGCCAUGGAAUAACGCGAAAGUAGAAUGUGAGAAUUUGAACGGGCACAUGAUACCCUACCCAACAAGGGCAGAGUCAGACAGACUGUUUUCCAAAUACGGAUCCUUCCUCGUCGGUCUUUACAAGACAUCGCAGCAAAGCACCACCUUCUACGACUUCUUCGGGGGAACGGUCGAGCAGUCCCAGGUCGAGUGGGACGUUGGCCAACCGAACAACAACGUCGUUGGGGGCAACUACGAGUUCUGCAUCACUCGUCUAGAGAAAGGGUAUCACGACCUCUGGUGUGUGACCAACGAGAAUCUCGGAAUUACUCUCUGUGUGGUCUACGGAGACUGGAAAAGCUCUUAAGCAGAUUCAAAUCUGGAGGGUUUGUAAGCAAAUGAAAGUUCUACUCCAAUGAAUUUUUUAUAUUUGAAUAUAAAGGGCGUUGGCACAGACUUCACUUAAGCAGAGAUUCAAAUCUGGAGUGUUUGUAAACAAAUGAAAAUUCUGCUCCAUUGGUUUUUUUUACAUUUGAAUAUUAAUGGCGUUGGCAUAGACUUCACUUUAGCAGAGAUUGAAAUCUAGUGUUUGUAAACAAAUGAAAACUCUAUUCCAAUGACUUUUUUAUAUUUGAAUAUUAAAGGCGUUGGCAUAGACUUCUCUUAAGCAGAGAAUUAAACCUAAAUUGUGUUAACAAAUGGAAAUUCUACUUCAAUAUUUUUUUCCAGCACUUGAAUGUAAAGAAGUCCUUUCAGGUUUAAAGAAGGGUGACACUGACCUAAGUAACGGUCACUAUCACCCUGCUUGCAAAUCAAAGGGUACAGGUUCAAGCCCUGGUCAGGGUAGGAGAAUGUACCUUAUAUAAUUAAUUACCUUACAGAGUAUGGUCAGGGUAGG